AUGCCUUCUCAAGCUCAAUUGUGGCACGACUUGGCAUUUUCUUCUCCAUUCUUUUAUUUCAAUUAUUUAUCGUCUAUUCUUUUGUUCCGGAGGCAUGGUGAUGUUGCUCUCUUCAAUCCAUCAUCUGGUGUGUCAAGAUCAUGUUCUUUUCAUGCCUAUCCAUUUAACCGGAGUGUGGUGCCAUUCUGCUCAAGUUCUUUUCGCCUUAUCAAGCCUUGCAUCUCUUUUCAACCGGAGUGCUGUCUGAUAUUUUUUCUUACCCCUAAUUCCAUUCAUUCAAUAGUUCCGGAGGCAGUGUGUUGUGAUUUCAUCAAGUAUAUUCUCAUCUUACAUGGUUCUUAUUCAAUUCCUUUUCUUUUCAAUCGAAGUGCCGCCUGA
rnacentral:rRNA from 1 species